CUACGGGCGGCUCCAGUGGGGAAUAUUGGACAAUGGGGGAAACCCUGAUCCAGCAAUGCCGCGUGUGUGAAGAAGGCCUGCGGGUUGUAAAGCACUUUCGGUUGGGAGGACUGCUUCUAGCACUAAUAUUGUUGGAAGUUGACGUUACCUUCAGAAGAAGCACCGGCUAACUCCGUGCCAGCAGUCGCGGUAAUACGGAGGGUGCAAGCGUUAAUCGGAAUUACUGGGCGUAAAGCGCGCGUAGGCGGCUAGAUCAGUCGGGUGUGAAAGCCCCGGGCUCAACCUGGGAACUGCACUCGAUAAUGGUAAGCUAGAGUAUAGUAGAGGCAAGUGGAAUUUCAGGUGUAGCGGUGAAAUGCGUAGAUAUCUGAAGGAACAUCAGUGGCGAAGGCGACUUGCUGGACUAAUACUGACGCUGAGGUGCGAAAGCGUGGGGAGCAAACAGGAUUAGAUACCCGAGUAGUC
rnacentral:rRNA from 1 species